UAAUUUUUUUACAUUUUAGAGACAUGCCUCUGCCAAUAUAAUAUUUCGGCCUAUUUAAUGUCCACAACCCGGACACUGAUACUACUGUACUUGGAUGAUUGGCCAUUUUAUUGAUGGGAUCUCGAUAAAAGCUUUUCGUCCUGAUAAACGUAACGAGCUUUGAGCAUAAAGGGAUAGACGAGCGUUAUUGAAAUCGUUUUUGAUUUACGCAUAUUUCACAGAACGAACUUGACAUGUGAACAGUUAUUGUCGAGAUAUUUCUUCGAGUCUAGAAAGAUCGCGAUUUUAAUGUGAUUUCCAUUAGGAAUACGACAGAAAUGAGAAAUUAUGAACACGCUAUUAAUGGAUGCACAUCGGUGUAACUGAUUUUUUUUAAAUGUCUCUCAGUUUAAAUUUUACAGGAUAUGUGAUGGAUUUUCAGUGGGUUUUUGGUCAAAUUUUAAAUAAGCUAAACUAACAAGCGUGUACGCGAAUGCAUCGUUGCGCUCGCGAUGUAUUGUUGCGUUUGUAACAAUUCCCGGUUGUCGUACGAUACUGAAACGAGCAACCUCGACAUAACCGGUAGAGUUUGCUAAUGACUCAUUCGAUAACGAGAUUUACUAAGCGUUUUAAUUAAUAUUGUAUAUAGCACGUUGUGAACGGUACAAAAAAAGUCUGGGAUCGGUCGGAUAAAUCAAUCAUUGAAACAAGAGGGACUAAUCCAAUCUCUGACCUAUAUGUACAAUUUGUAAUAGCGUUAAUGGUCAUCAAAACAUUUUACAAACGUAUGAUUAUAUUAAUGUCGUAACAUCCUGAAGAAUCGCUCGGAUUUAAUCUAAAUAAAAUAGCUUGAUUUUUUUUCAGCGAUAAACGAUUUUAAUAAAAAAAUCUGUACAAGAAAAUUUACAUAACUUUUAACUUAUAAAAACAAAUUAACACUGCUUGAUACAUCUUAAUUUUUAACGUACCAUUUUAGAGAUUAUUUAACCGCGUAUGCCACGCUUCGUGUAAACAGCACGGAGUACUUAAAAUACUUUAUAUCGUUUUAAAUAAGAUAAUAUAUAUAUUCAAAGAAUUAAUUAAAAAUUUACUUUUAAAUGGCUGCUGGACAAGAACGAAGCAUGGAGAGCUGCGAUCAAUAGGUCGAAUGUACUUCCUAGAUUUAUCUCGCAUCUCGAUACAUACGUCCGAAUGGAUUACAGGGUCGAUUUCAAUUCGCAUGUCGUAGUUAACAGCGAGAAUUCGCCAAAGUUCGAGAGCAGUUUUGCUGGCAUGGCGAAACUUGUCGGGAGAAGAUGGAUUCGAAAUCGAAGCAGAUAUCAAACAUGAAACUAAAUUUACGAAUGAUAAUUCGAUUCCAGUCAGUUAUCCAAACGUCUCCUCUCCAUUCUCCCCUUUUUUCUCUUACAUAUACAUACAGCAGUAUUUCGAUCUAUCGGGAUUACUCGAGCAUGCCAAAAUUGGUUUUUGUUCUGAUAAUUUGAAUGAGGAACGCACCCCGAUCGCAAAACACAUGUUUUAACUGAAGAAAACUGAGUGUUUAAAAUUUUUGAUAAAUUGUUCCAAAUUGGCCGGCAAUGCCGGUGUCACCUUGUUUGGCGUACAAAUCGAUUUAAACUCCCGUUAAUUUCAACGAAAGCGUCGCGCUCGUCCGCGAAUGAAAAUAAAUUAGUCGCUGAAAGUUGACGCGCGUGCAAUUAGAGUUUCUAAUCAACGUAUCAAUUAAUAAUAUUGCUGAUUCGUCUCGCCUAUUAUUGUACGGCUUUCUAACCCGGGUGGAUGGCGUCAUUACUGCACGCCGCUGUCGAUAAUUAACAAAUCGCGUUGGAAAUUGCGUUAAUAUUUCAACGCCUGCGGAUGAGCAACUUGUGGCUCGUUCCUUCACGGGGUGCUCAAAAUUACUAUCAGCUGCGUCAAAUCCAUCGAUUUGACAAAGUGCCAAGGCAAUUAGGAACGUAAGUUUUAGUUAAACAGCCGGCAACCACGAUAGAGUUUGCAAUCGCGAAUAAAUAUUAACAGAUUUCUUCCAUCACAUUUUUCAGCGGAUUAAUCACACGAAGACCAAUCUAAUAAUGAAUAUCAAUGAAAUGUACGGAGAAUAACGAAUAAAAUAAUAAAGCAUUGAGAAUUUCAUUGGAAAGUGAUCUUAAAUCUCUCGCAAGCAGCUCGAAUAAUCGCACUUGAUCCGAUGAGACUUGCGUCGAGGCUUGACGCUCAUAAAAAAAACGUCGCGCGUGCAGUCGACAGGAAAAUACUUUCGGAUCGAUAUUAUGCAUGCAGACGCGAGUCAGUCCGCCCUCAAGUCGUACAGCAAUUUUGAGGACUCACGAAUUCCAGGCCAAGAUUAUCCGGUGAGGCGACACACUCGAGGAGGCCCUUCUCGAUGAGGGAUGAAUACGCCCCCCUACCUCCCUUCGACGGCUAAGCUGAGAGGGCGGUUAGCAGCUGGAUUUAUAUGGCGGCAUUAAUAUGCAGCGUCGGGAAUUUCAAUGGGGCAAUCGCGCACGAGCGAGCGAGAGAGAGAGAGAGAGAGAGAGAAAGAGAGAGAAACGGAGACUCGGAAGAGAGGAGUAAAAGGGAACGGUGGAAAGGGAUAGGAGAAAGCGGGGGGGGGAAGCAUCUCGAGGGCCCGUCGAACUCGUCGAUGAUCAAUACUUUUGUCUACGUCCACGUGACUUGCUAAUAGGAUUGAAUCGCGCCUCUAUGCGCGGGCAAUUGCGUGCGUUUCAUAUGUCAAAUCAGACGGCGAUUCAGAACGGAAAAAGCGUUUACGCGGAUUACGCCUCCCAUAAUUACAAGCCGAUAAAUCACUUAUCGGCCCGCGCGCGCAACCCGCUCUGUAUUCUAGAGGUAAGAAGCGAGAGCGAGGCGCAGCACGCGAAACAUUAAUGAAUAACAUUACAGGGAUGAGCUUUCACUUUACAGGUUUUUUUUCCCUCGCGCUCUCUUCCGCGCGUGUUAAUUGUUUUCGCACGGACGUGCGCAAAGUUUUAUUACUCGAUUAAUUUGACACACGGGCUGGCUGGAACGCGCGAGAUAUUUAUAGGCGCACAUAAUUAUUUAUAACGUUACCCGAAUCCGAAAGGGGCUUGUCACGAAUUAUCGAGCGAGCCGAAGGCUCGUGAAACAUGGCGGCUGCAUACGCGAUGGGCGGCUAUCCGACGAGAAUCGAAGAUAGCGGUUUCGAGUAUAGGUAUCGAGGUAGAUGAGGAGGGAAACAUGACGUAACAGCUUGCUCCGAAGCAGUUUGUGGUUAGUAACCGGAUCUCACGGAAACAGACGUCGCGCGCGGCGCGAGAUAUAUACGGGGGAUAUCCCCGAGGACUCCCACAUUGUCCUCCCCGGUGGGAGGAAAUCCCCGAAACCCAAUUUCUAUUCUCGCCGUUUUUCCCCGAAUAGAAAGCGGAAUAUUAGAUGAAGCAGAGGGACAGGGGUGGAGAGUCAUCGCAAUUUUUUUUGUUCGCGCGACGAGACUCGGAAUGACCGAUAAUUCCGCGAGAAUCGAUAUACGCGUUCUUUCUUGAUGAGUUUUGCAGCAUCCGGCGGCCGACCGAUAAAUUUCCGCGCACGUUAAUCGGCUUUAUUUGCUCGGUGCGUCGCCUGCGGGCUGACAGAUAGCCACCAGCGUCCGCCGCUUUCGCACAUAGAUCCCGGCUAAUUGUUUAUUAAUAUUGCGACGUCGGUACCGACGUUCGAUGUUUCCCACUAACAGCGCGAAUAUGCGCGUGCGCUUGUUCUCGAUGACGAGAUCGAGAUCGUUAUAUCCAGCACUUCCGCUGUCCCGCUGCAAUCUUUUCAAUUUCACUCAUAUCGACCGUCGUAAAAAAUAACCGAGCGUUUCCCGCAGACGAUGCAGAUCCUCGAGGUAUGCCGAUAACUUGUACCGCGCGCCAUCUUGGCAAUUUAAUUUAUCUGAAUUGACCCCGGUGCAACGCUUGAUGGCGGCGGUAAUUAAAGUUUCGAUUAAAAAACGUCCAUAUUGUUGCGCGUCGCGUUCCCCGGACGUUCGCCAUGAUUACGGACUACCUACCUAUCUACGCGGUGGGCUUUUUAUCGGAUUUCAAUUUUCGCAUACAGUCGUCGGCGGAGCGAGUCGGUACAUCUACUACCGCGGAUUAGCUGGAGCGAAUCGAGGCCGGAAUGGGACGGGCUGAAAGGGAGACGACCGGGGCCGCCAUUAUUGGCACAUCGAAAAUCGAAAACUGAAAUGUACCAAGCGGUUGAACCGCGCGUCGAGACCGUCGCGUCGCUCGCCAUUAAAUCUUCAUCCGCCCGAGCGCAAACUCUUAAUAUUGAACGAGGAAGCGAGGUUUUGCCUCAUAUCUGUCACUGCUUCCUCUCCCCCCCCCUCCCCUCCUCCAGUCUCUUCUUUGAGACCCCGUUUUUUAAUCGAGAGGGCAAACUUCGCCGAUAAUUAAACACGCUCAAUUAUUCAUGUCGCCGGAAAGUAUCUGGGCUGUUUCGGAUGAUGUUAAUUUAGUGGGCUCCCGAGAACUUCAUUAUUAGUUCCCGGGGUCGGCGCCGUGCGCGCGGUUCUCCGAUUUUAAUUCUGGAAGCGCGGACUAAUUAAUUAAUCUACGCGGAACGCCGCCGCUCAUACACUGACCACCACGCGAAUGGCGGCCAUGCUGACAUAUAAUAGACGGAGUGGAGAAAUGGAAAUCUCGAUCCUCCAAUUUUCCUUCACCGGAUUCCAUUGAAAGCUAAGACUCACGUGGGUUCUCGUGUAUACAAGGUCGGGAUGUGAAACCGUAUAACCGCGCACGGGCAGAGCGGCGGUCUCUUUUGAGAAUGCGUUCGCGUGUAAAAAAAAUUAUAGAAAGACCCUCUGUGUAAAAAGUUAUAGAAAAGCCCCUUGAACGAGGACAAGUAGAGCCGCGGUGCAAAAGCAACGGUGCUCCCGCGCAACGAUUGAUAAGCGAGCGAAUUUAGCCAGCAGCCAGGUAAUUCCGCCUGCCGAAGUGGAGGCUCGAAGGAACGUGGAUGUGGGAGGGAGGAAUAAGGAAGGGGGUGGGCGGGGGAGGGCGAGGAGCGAACCGCAAAAUAAAUUACCGUGUAAGACCAUGCGAAAGGUAAAACACCCUGGCAGUCAACGCCCACCCCGCGCGUCGAUCUCACCCUCAGCUAUACAUGUUCCUCGCUUCUCACCCCCCCCCCCUCCCCCAUCCUCGUCUCUAUAUGUCGUUCUUAACCCGGAGCUAAGCAGCCUCGAGAUGUAAGGGGCGUGUUUGCGUAAGGUACACAUGUGCAUGCACACACAAACGCGCAUGCAUCGUAGCCCCCGGCAUCGUCGUAACGUACGUAACCGUACGUAACGGGGGUGAGAGCCGCUAGGGGUGUGAGGGAGGCGGGUGAGCGAGGAGGCGGAGCGAGUCGAUACUGCCGUCCGAGAUUUUCAUUUCCGCCGGGCCGUAAACUUUUCUCGCCAUUAGAGGAUUUCGAGGAAUGGCCCUCUUUAUCGCUGUUCUCCCUCUCGAUCUCCGCGCCGGUUGACGGCCGUAAUAGGGUUUAUCGGAAUCCGGAGGCCGUGAGGUAGAGACGAUCGCUUACGCUGGCCCCGCGACUCGCGACCAUCCCCGGGUUGAGGAAAGAGAGAGAGAGAGAGAGAGAGAGACAUUACUCUUUCUCCUUCGAAAUUCCGCGAUACAAAGGGCGGCGAUUUAGGACGCGUUUCGUGGCGAUUCAGGUCGAAGUUCAGGUCAACACGUACGCCGUACACCGUAACCGUUCGAUUGUGCUCGAGGCGCCUUACGCGAAUGGAAGUCUAAACAUCCCCUGGAACACGUACAUUUCCAUAAAUAUUUCCCCCCCCCUUUUUCUCAAUUUUCUCUUAUUUCCAGAGCGUCUCUUAAGUUUGCUUUCACAAACAUACGUCACAAAGUCACAUUUGUAUAAAUACAGAGACUAUGCGAAAUCGUAAACGGUAUUACAGUAGAACGUGCGUUUUAUAUAUUUUUUUUUAACACCUAAACAAUUUACGUGAAAGGAUCUUUUUCAUCGCUAAACUUUUUAAUCGCGCGAACGAUUUACGGGUUUUUUCCCACCUUUUUUCGUCUGUUUUAGCGCGAAUGAAAGAUAUUUCGCGCGUCGCGCACGUUCGAAAUUGAGUGGCGGUUGACACCGAUUUCGCGGAAAAUCGUUGGAUUUCCAGGAUUUUCAGGAUUCAUCGCGAUUAGUUCGGCUCGCGUUUCGUGGCCGCACGCGCGUCGCUCGAAUCUGAUUGCCGGGGCUUUAAUGCGAUUCGUGAUACGGGGGGGAGGGGAGGGGGAUAUGACUAUAACGUGGCGUGUGCAAUCCGUCGGGUAUUGGCCGCGAGGCAAUGGUGCAUGCGGCAGGCUUGACACAUAUCAAUCAGGCAAUGGAAUUCUCGGGUGCUCGGAUGCUGCGGCAUCCGAUCUCCCCCACCGAUGAUCCUCCACCUGACAUUGCAAUACGCAAUCCACGUGAAACCACUUUAUCGUAUCUUGAAAUUAAAUUGCAAUCACGGCCGGUUAAAGCCGUCCGAUUUCUGAAGCUCCUCAAUCCAUCGUCGCUACAUUUUCUUUAAAGCGUGAAACACUGUCUAUUAAAAAUUGUUUUUUUAUUUUUGUAUAUUAAUUUGGAAGAGCGUGCAAGUCCUUUAUUCAUAACUUUGAAGAAAAUCAAUACAAAGGCUGUACUUGUGAACAAAAACGCGACGUAUUACGCGCAACUCGCGGAGCUCGUCUGUGUUAAUUAAGCGAUGAAAUUCUCGAAAGUUCGGAAUAUUCAGUGUUACUGUCACUACAGCCUCCGCGUGUUCUCGCGUGUACAUAUACAUAGCUCUUCGCAUGUGUAUAUUAUCCUAUACCUUUUACACAUGUGUCCAUGAUACCCUGAUUAUAUUGCUUCCGCGGGCUACGCGUAUCAAGAUACAAUUAACGUCAAACGUUAUCAGUUUCCCGCUACCAAUCAUAAAUGUCAUCAAUUUAAUAUAAUAUCUAUUUCUAAUGAAAAUAGUCAGCAAAGCUUAUUCGCUAUUAUAUCGGAUAAUGUAUAGUCAUCAUUGUCAGAGACAUUACUUGUUUUAACAAAACUAGAGAAACGAUAUCGUUAUUUAGAAAAAAAUCAACGCAGCGAUUACGCUCGUCACCAUAAUUAUUACUAUUGGUGGAUUCGCGAAUUCUCUCUGAUGCCAAUUUCACGUGCUACCCAAUGCUCCCCUCGCGCGGCGUUUAAGUUUAUCUAAAAAAUUCGCUGCGACGUAAGCGAAGCAGGAAAAACCCCGUCGCGUCGCCGUAUCCCCCGCGCGCCCGAACGUAAUUCUGUUUACACGGUAAAUCUUUCUUGUACAAAUUCGAAUACGCCUCGCGUAGGAGAAGGUCGAACGACCGAGGGAAAAGGAGGCAUACCUCCUUCCGGAGGUAAAUUGCAAAUUCAAAGUUUCACGGCGACUUUCACACCGUCGCGACAAGAGGCAUCCCAUUUCCGGAUCCGGGGAGGGUUCUUAGCGCCGAAUAAGAAAAGAAAGAGGAAAACUGCGAUCCAUUCUACAUACACUGAGAAAGCUUUGCCGGCCGGCAUCUAUUUGAGAAGAAGUUAGUAUACGGGAAGAACUCUCUCUCUCUCUCUCUCUUUCUCUUUCUUCUUCUUUUUCUCUUUUCCUGUCUCUAAACUUUAUAACAUAACGGCGUGUAUAGUAUACACAACGAACUUUGUUGGUCUACUCAUCUCGUUCGUUUUCUAGUAGUAACAAAUUUUCAAUCUCGAAAUUUCCACUAUAGUCUGUACUUUCAAUAUAAGAGCGCACACAACAUAUUGCGAAGCAAUAAGCAAGUCCAAUGACCCCAAGAGGGAGGGAAGUGCUUUCUAUUUAAAUGACUUUUAAUAAUCUCGUCGACUUGAAUCGACAGCUCUAAUAAAUGAAGAGUGUUCUGUUAACUUUUAUAUAUAAAGGAAUUUAUGAAUUAAUGUAGUUAAAUAAACGUUUGCGCUAUCGACUACGUGCAAUGAAUAAUGUUACAUUCACUACGCAUUCCUCAGCAAGUAUUGAUAUGCGUAUUGAAAAGAGGCCGAAUGCGAGGAUAUGCAGAAGAGUGAUCCCUACGCGCGAUAUCGCUACAAGAAUAGGACAUAAUCUCGUAAAGAGAGAGAGAGAGGGGGGGGGGAGGGAGAGUGACGCUUUUUGACAAAAGCGCGUUCACGUAAACAUCCUCGGACAUCCUCUCCGCGUUUCACGGAGACACCGGCUGCCAGAUAAAAACGUCAGGCAGACUCGAGCAGACAGUCGGUUAUCUCGCGUACAUUUUACGUACGCUUCGCGAGACUUGAAGGGCGUCGCGCGUGAUUUGUCGCCGGGAUCCCGGACCCCUUCCCGGCACCGGCGAGACGCCCCUGUGCGAGGGGAAGAAUGGGGAGAAUCGACGGAUUCGACAACGACUGGCUGCGGAAUUGAAUGUGCACCGGCUUCGAGGGGAGCACGUAACGUUUGAUGAUUUGUAACCGGUUUCAUUUCCCCGGGAAAUGUUCCGGCACCGCUCGGAGCCAACUACACGGGAGUCUCUUCGUAGAGUCCCUUUCAAAAGUAAAAAAAAAAAGAGAAAAAAAAGAAAAGCUGUUUACAAAAAUAUGCACGAACGUCGGGGCGCUGAUAAAUUUGACUGAGACUCUCAAACCCGUGGGAUGAGAAGCCCUUGGUUGAGGAAGUUAGCCGAGGUGAUUUACCUUUGUGACCAAGGAAACGGUUACCAGAGUUAAAAUUACCUUUCGAACUUCAGAAAUUCGAACGGCGGAAUGUAUCAUCCCUUUCUUAUUUCAUGGAAAUAACCCAUUGUUAUUUGUUUUCUCCUACCGCCUCUCGGAAAUCGGCUAAGAGUCGGAGUCGAUUUCGAGAUUCCAUUAUUGCGCCUUCCGCGAUCCUCCUCUGGACGUAGACUUUUGCUCCUACGAAUGAAAGAAGCGUGCGAGAGACAGGAGUCGAAGGAAUGUAUGGUGCGCCGAAAUCGAAUCUCUUUGAGCAACGUUAUCGCGGGGAAACCAGGCUGCUGCAAGACCCGAUUACGAAACCAUAUCGUUGAAAGAACGAGAGGGCAUGUUUGAUCACAAGUAUCUUAAAUUUUUACAUAGAUAUAGGAGAGUGGUUUAAAAACUCAAAGAUCACGACGAGAGAAAUGAAACCGAAAUUCAACCGCUCACCCGGAAAUCUCUCUCUCCGUUCGUCCAUAAGAUGUUCUAAUAAUGAUCCGCAUCGUCGUUGCUGUAGCGAAGAUUUGAUAUUCGUUACGAGGAAAAAGAACAGCGAUUUUUUUGCAGUAGCGUAACACUUAGCCGCGUAAUAGCUAAUUGCGGGUGCUCACGGCUGGAGUUACCCAGUUAAGGAUUAAAUUGAUUAAUUUACAUGCGCAAGGAAUGUCAUGGCUGGUAGGAGAGCAUAAUUCGCGUGACACGGUUGGCAAUGCCCGGCCUUCCACAUUCCCUGCUCACCUGUAACGAGCAUGUGCCUGGAACUUUGCAGACGAUAUAGUCAAGAGGUGUUGUGUGCGAAGUACCCACGCUAAACUGAAUCGUGCUAACAAGCGUUGAGAGCUGAAGCCCCGGUGCGCGUAAAUUGCGCCGAUAAUAUUUUACAUAAUUACUGGUAUUUCCGCGAUAACAUCAAAAACAGUAGCCGGCGCGCCUACUAAUUGCAAUUAAAACAAUCGUGCUACCCUUGUAAUAGCAUUGUGUCGGCAGUCAAAAAAAUUCACGCUUUAAUAUUAAAAAGAAGAAAAAUUCGACAUUGUAAAAUAAAGAUUCUUUGAGAAGUAUUUGAAACUUAUUGUUUUUGAUUUUUAGCAUGUUGAGAAUAGAAGCAGGUAAAGCAGACACGCAACUUUUUUAAACCUUUUGUUGCUUUCUAAAGAAUUUAUAUUUGUAGAAUAUUAUAUCUAACCUUGUGCAAACGUCUCCUUGAACUUCAUAUUUUUACAGAGAAAGAAUGGUAAUUUGGACUUCCACUUCGCGAAGAUAAAUUUUAAUAUAAUUGACACUCUACAAUUAAAUAUAUUUUGCCUUUUCAAUUGGGGUUUUUGCAGCGGACGCCUCGCUCUCAUAUUUUACAUUUAGCCUCCUCGCUUGAUUAAUUGAUUGAAUUUCGCUUGAUUUUGUUGAAUUGCCGUUUCAUACAAAGUUACGCGUGUGAAAAUUGGACAUGGGCGUUCCCGGGAAUUUUUUUUUCCGCGCAACUCGUAAAUAAUAACGUGGGGGAUGCAGCGCGUUUCCUCUUCACGAAUCAAUACGUGGUCGUUCGCACCUUCCUCCUCGACUUUUCGAUUUCCGAAACCUCCACUUUGUCGUCUCGGCCGAAGCAUUAUAGACAGCUAGAGGCAUCUUCAUUUCCCACCGCCAAAUUUUCCGCUUUCAGCCGUUACUCACACCCCCCGCCCCCUCUUCCAUCCAUUCCUCCACCAAGGGAGAUAAGCCCAAGUCCUCGGCCCCGAUAUCCAAGUCAAAACCGAGGUCGGAAAGCACCGAGAUCUUUUUUUUCCAACUUUCCAGUCUUCUCUCUACGUCUUCCGUCGCUUUUCGCCUCUUCCUCUCAUCUUAUUCGUACAGCUCCGCCACGGCAGGAUGGACGUAGCUUCGCGAAGCUGUUCCAGAAUCGCACCGUGGAUAUUUUCCUGGGAUUAUCACCAGCUGCAAACUCGAAGGGCAAAGUCUUAUGGCAGAUGCUCGAAGAGAUGAUGCUCAGAAAAGCGGGUCCGUUUAUCCGACGCGAAAUGCUCGAAACAAUUUCAAUAUUGUCGAUGGGAGGGAGAGAGGGAGGUAUAUGUGCAUGUGUGUAUAAAAUAAAUCCUCUCAUCGAUGCUUUGAUCGACACUUACAGUCUAGGGUCUUAGCUUCCUGUUUAAACUUGUCGACUCUUUGACCGGCGAUUUGGAGCUGAUGCUUUCUCAAAUGAAGUGUCAUCAACGAAACAUUGCGUAUACGCGCGCGUGCGUGUGUGCGUCCCCUUUUUUAUUUUACCGCGAAACUAUGAGAGAAUAUAAUAACCUGAUCAUCGGAUUCUCCUCGAGAGAAAGAGAGUCGAUGUCGGGAUAUAAUUAAACGGUUCCGCGUGGGUACAGCCGGGAAACGUAUGUAUAGAGAUGCUUGUGCGAGAGCGAGCAUUCUGCAGCGUGUCGCGUCGGUGUAUUGGAUUGGAAUUUAUCGGAAUGUGCCGCUUCGCGGUGGCUUUCCGCCCGGCGAAAUGAAAUAUGAUCCCGCGUAGCAUUUCCCGAGAUGGCAUUCGCGGGCGAAGAGCACGGGAAAGACAGAGAAAGAGAGAGAGAGAGAGAGAGAGAGAGAGAGGAGCGAAACAACAAGCCGGCCGUUGUCGCCGCGAAGACGAGCGGAUUCGUCGCGCGGGUAAUAUCGUCAGUUUGUACGUACCAACUGGCCGUCAAUUCCUCGAGCUCCCGAUACAAUGCGCGCGCCGUGGAAAUCGAUGCUCUUCGAGAGUCGAAUUUCAUUGCGUCUUAACUCCCCGCAAACGCGAGGCGAUUGUGCCCGUCGAAGGUGUCUCAAUGCCCGGCUCGACAAUGAACUCGGCGACACGGACCGCUCCCUUAUCACUUAUUAAUCUUAUUACAUUGUCACAAUUUCCCAGGCGACGUUGUGACAGACGCGAUUGUCGCCUGGCUAUUCAAUCGCGCCCUGCGUUCAGCUCUCUCUCUCUCUCUCUCUCUAUUUCUCUUUCAUCCUCCCUCCGCUCCCGCUUACGAGAUUCCCGUGGCGGUAAUGACGAGACGUAAGUACCGCUGAGCCUGAAUAACGACGUAUCCGCUAAUGCCAUUCCGGCUGUCAGUUUAAUCCGCCAUCGAAUGCCACUGGCGUCUGGAUUCAACGCGCGCGCGGAAUCUCCUCUUCAUUUCCCCCCCCGAAACAUCCGCUGCCGUUAUAUUAUAUGAUAUCUGCAGUAUAAUUCCACGGAAUGCCCACGUUAAAUAGCAUACUUUCGAGCUCUUCCGCGUUUCCCAGCAUAUCCCGUCGAUCUGACAUCGGAUAUCGAUCGGAAGUGUCUUAGCGGAGGAUCCGGAAUCUUGUUUACCGAACGCUCCGAUAAUCCCCGGGAGCAAAAAUUAUACCUUAUUUUAGUAAAAAAGAAAAGAA